AAGAACAGCUGAGGUGUUUCCCUCUGAGGAUCCACGAUUGUUAAUUCAGUGAGUAUUUCAGGCCAAUCAUGAACAUGUUGGAGAGACUUAUGAUACGGCUUCAGCUGGAGACCUAUACAACAACAGCUCUAUUUAAAGAUAUUCAGUGGUGUUCUUCCUUGUUGAUCAGUGAUGUGCUAUAAACAGAAAUAAGACAACUUUCAAAAAUACAGUUUUGUAAAUAUAAAAUCAAAUGGUAUUCCUUUUAGUGAGACUUGAGUUUAUCUAACCCAGGAAUUUUUACAUAUAUUUUUACACCACUAUUAUUUAAUAAUUUUUAAAAAGUCAUUGAAAUCUCACAAAAUAGUCACAAAAAGUAAUUUUUAUAAGAUUUUGGAUAUGUUUAUAUUGUCUUUUCUUUCUUUUUUUUUUUUUUGGGGGGGGGGGUGUUU